UACCAGCUCUCCGAGUGGUAGGGAUGAUUAUUGGGCUUAAAGCGUCCGUAGCUGGCUUAGCAAGUCUCCUGUUAAAUUCAGCGACCUAAUCGUUGAGCCGCGGGAGAUACUAUUAGGCUAGGAGGCGGGAGAGGUCGACGGUACUUUCGGGGUAGGGGUGAAAUCCUAUAAUCCCGGGAGGACCACCAGUGGCGAAGGCUGUCGACUAGAACGCGCUCGACGGUGAGGGACGAAAGCUGGGGGAGCGAACCGGAUUAGAUACCCGGGUAGUCCCAGCUGUAAACUAUGCGGGCUAGGUGUUGGGGUGGCUACGGGCCACUUCAGUGCCGCAGGAAAGCCAUUAAGCCCGCCGCCUGGGGAGUACGGCCGCAAGGCUGAAACUUAAAGGAAUUGGCGGGGGAGCACCACAAGGCGUGAAGCUUGCGGUUC
rnacentral:rRNA from 1 species